UACGUAGGGUGCGAGCGUUGUCCGGAAUUACUGGGCGUAAAGAGCUCGUAGGUGGUUUGUCGCGUUGUUCGUGAAAACUCACAGCUCAACUGUGGGCGUGCGGGCGAUACGGGCAGACUGGAGUACUGCAGGGGAGACUGGAAUUCCUGGUGUAGCGGUGGAAUGCGCAGAUAUCAGGAGGAACACCGGUGGCGAAGGCGGGUCUCUGGGCAGUAACUGAC
rnacentral:rRNA from 1 species